AGAGAAGCUCUGGGGCUUCAGUCAAUGACUCAGGGUAGCCACCGAACAUGAUGCUCGGGCAGUGGGUGCCACCUGGACUCCACUCUCCCCUCUCUCUGGGAUCAUAGAGUCCAAGGUGUUCUGUGGCCUCUCGGCCAAUCCCAGCAGCUCAGCGUGCAGAAGACCGAGGAGCCAUUGGUCAGUGUAGGAGGUGCCUGGAGUUUUGGAGAUGGGAUCCACAGGAAUUCAACACAACACGAAAUAAUCAACAAAUUCGGGGAAUGUUAAUCUGACCAUCACCAGUUACAAAUGAUGUUUCAUGCUACCUUCUAUUCCUGCCUUCAUAAAUCAAGGAAAAGAAAAAGAGAACAUAUAUCCCCCUACCUUUUGAUUUCCAACAGUCUACUGAGAGGCCAAGAUUAUUUGCAGGGAAAGAAAAGGGGUCAAAAUGUUUUGCCAGUAACUCCCAAAUCAUCUACAGCCAAGGAGAAAAGUGUUUCAAGACAGAGGUGCUCAAUGGUAUCAAAUACUGCCAACAGACCAAGUAAUACAUGCAUUGAAGUGUCUACUGGAUCUAGCUAUAUCACCAGAACAAGGUUAUGGUGGAAAACGCUAGAAAUGAAGAUUUUGUCCCCAGGGAUGGGGGAUACAAGUUACCAAAGUAGUGGCGAGAAAAGGAAUUUUUAAUUUAGGACACUUAGGCCAUACUGAAGCAAGGUGACAAAAUGAAUAGCUACAAUGUCUCGUGAAUCUUGGGUUUCCAUUCACCCUGGUAUUCAAGAGAAAUUCUUGCAUCAUGGAAGUUGCAGUUGGAUAGGACUUUCUCAGCUGAACACUGUCAUCUGCCAGAGCUUCAGGCAAGAACCCAGAACAGAUGAAACCCCAGACAUGACAAAAUAAGCCAAAGAAUACCAGGCCAAGGUGUGAAAGGCCAGAUGAGAACAAGCAGCGUACACGAUUCUGUUGCCAACAGAUCUCCCCUAACAGUGUCGUGCACCAAAUUUCCACAGUGAAUGUCAGGAAAAAAUGGCAAUUGAGGUGGGUGGUCAAAAGAGAAGCACAGUCUAUGAUGAAGUCACCCCAGAGAAGUCCUUUUUCCGUUUUCUCCUGAGAAAUUACCAGAAGAAAUUAAAAUCCUUU
rnacentral:lncRNA from 1 species